GUACAUUAUUGCAGAGGCCGGGAAAGGGCAAUUCGUGGAUGAGUUUCGAUUUUGUCGGACGACGCGAAGCGGAGUCCGACAAAGAAGACGAAUCCACGAAUUGCUAUUCCUGCCGAGGCAUAUAUAUAAAAUAAUAAAUAUUUAAGCAUCUAGCAUCACUCGAAUCGAACCUUCACAUCAAAAAUUUCAAAAACAAUUUCCCUCUUUAAUUAU